UAUGCACGUGUGCAUGUGCAUGCAUGCAUGUGUGUUCGCCUGUGUAUGCACGUGUGCAUGUGCAUGUAUGUGUGUAU
rnacentral:miRNA from 1 species